rnacentral:tRNA from 1 species
GUAAAUAUAGUUUAAUUAAAACAUUAGAUUGUGGUUCUAAAAACAAAGGUUAAAUCCCUUUUAUUCACC